UACGGAGGGUGCGAGCGUUGUCCGGAAUCAUUGGGCGUAAAGGGCGCGUAGGUGGCCCGGUCAGUCCGUGGUGAAAGCGCGGGGCUCAACCCCGCGUCGGCCAUGGAUACUGCUGGGCUGGAGCACUGUAGAGGCAGGCGGAAUUCCGGGUGUAGCGGUGGAAUGCGUAGAGAUCCGGAAGAACACCGGUGGCGAAGGCGGCCUGCUGGGCAGUUGCUGACACUGAGACGCGAAAGCGUGGGGAGCGAACAGG
rnacentral:rRNA from 1 species